ACUCACGACCCUGAGAUCAAGAGUGGCAUACUGUACUGACUGAGCCACCUGAGCACCCUAAACUUACUGACAUUUUAUUCAGUAGUGUCCAAUCUGCGGUUAAUCUCAUUCAGAGUAUCGUUCAUUUGAAGCAUUGCUUCUUUUUUCAUCUCCAGAAGUUUGAUUUGGGUCCUUUUAAGAUCUUACAUACCUCUUAUCAUGCUCACACUUUCCUCUAACUUUUUGAAGAUAUGGAGUUGUAUUAUAAUAGCUGUUUUAAUGUUCCUAAUUAAUUUAACUAAUUCUGUCAUCUGUGUCAUUUCUGGGGCUGUUUCUAUUAAUUUUUUUUUCAUUAUAGGUUGUAUUUGCCUGCUUGCUGGAAUGCCUUCUAAUUUUUUAUUGCAUGCCAUUGUGCUGUGGAUUUUUUGUAUAAACAUUUUUUGGGCUUUGUUCUGGGAUACAUUUAUGUUACUUGGAAACAGUUUGAGCCUUUCAAGUCUCACGUUUAAGCUUUGUUGGGCAGGUCCAGAAGAGCCCUUCAUUUACGGCUUAUUGGCCCAACUGCUAAGGUGAUAACCUUCUGAAGACUCUACUCGAUGCCCUACAUAUGAGGUCUUUCCACUCUAUCUGGUUGGAACACAAAUUAUUCCUGACCCUGUGUGACUCCCAAGUUUUGUUGUGCUUCUUCUUUUCCAGUGAUUUUUUUCCUCUGGCCCUGGUAGUUUUCUCACAUGCCUGUACCGAUCAGUACUCAGCUGAAGACUCAAGAGCUUCAAGUAUUAAACAGACUCUAGCACUGGCAGCUUUUUGAAAACCCACCCUUCACUGCAAUUUUACCUGUGCCUCCCGAAAUACAGUCAACACAAUGCUGUGCUUUGGCUACUUGUGUUUUUUAAGAAUAAACCAAAAUCAGCAUUUUUAAUCAACCACAUUGGACCAGAUUGGGAGAGAAAGACUAAUGUGUUCCAAUUGCCUCGUUCCUCUUUAUGACCAAGCAGGAAGUUUCAGAGCAAACCUCCACCUCUCAGGAAGUUUACGUCAAAAUGAGUAUUGACAUCCUGUUUAAUAGAGUCUUAAAUUUUUUCCUCACUUCCAGACGCUCACCAUUUGAAUUAAAAUGUUUGAGUAAUCUGUCCUGAAAUUAUGUUUCCUUUGACUCUCAGAAGACUAUGUCUAAGUGACAAAUGGAAUAUCUCUAUGACUAAUAAUGAUAAAAGUUAAAGGUUUUUUUUUAGUAGUCAUGGGAAACUGUCCCUUGAGCUUCAAACUACUGUUGCUCUCCAGAGACAAUAAACACCACACAUCUGUAGAAAAGUGGAUGUACUAAAUAAAACUAUACCCUCCACAAAGGCUGGAGGGCACCAAUAUAAAACCAGUAUCUGAGGAGUUGAACCUGCCACACAAACCAGCCCAGACCAAGACCAUCUCCAGAUGAAGCUGUCCCCUGCUGUACCUCAUUGAAGUGAUUGAUAGUUGAAGAAUUGUAAGGAAGAAGAGAGGGGUCAAAAGACCAUAAAGACAGAGCAACAUGAUUUUCAGCAAGGGAAGAAAGGUAGAUUCUGCAUACUGUAUUCUGACAAAUUUAACAUUAGUACCAGGAAAAAGUUGAGAAUGGGUUUCCAUAAAUGAUUUGAGUGCACUUACAGGAUAGGACAGGGAUCAUUUGGAGCCAGCAUGUGUUUACUGAAAGCAGGGUAAACCACACUAACUUUAUUUCUUUUUCAGAUAAUAUUGGUAGAUUAGUAGUAAAGGAGAAUGCUAUAUGAAGAGUAUAGAACAUUGAACUCUUUGUGGACAUGAUGAAAAACUAUGGAUCAGAUUAUAAUGCAGUUAGAUCUUGCCUGAAGACUUUGGCUCCAAAAAGCAGAUAAAUGUUUUCUUGGAUAAGUCCUUCAUUUAUGCUGUAGGGAUUGGUCAUGGUCUCUAUUGCACUUCACAUUUAAUUAAUGGUUUGAUAGAAACCCACAUGUAUUUGGUUUGAAUAGAUCAUAUGUAGUUAAGAGUUACUAAUUUGUUCAUUGACACUAAAAAGUUAUUUGAUAAACCAUUGUAAAUGCCAGCAUUUUAGUUAAAAAUUGACUCUACAAGUGUAGUUCAGGUAAACAGGUCCUUCAACAGUAUCUGAAGCAGUAUCUAGAAGGACAAGAAUUUUAGUAAACUACAACCUUGGGCUUUAUUAAUUAAAAUUCAGUGUGUAGAACCAGAGAGACAUUGGCCCCGUCUAUUCUUGUUUGGUCAGACAACAUCAUAUUUUCAAAACAGCAUUGAGGGGUGUGCCUGGGUGGCUCAGUCGGUUACGCAUCUGACUCUUGAUUUGAGCUCAGGUCAUGAUCUCGCAGUUUGUGCAGUCAAGCUU